GAUGAACGCUGGCGGCGGGCCUAAUACAUGCAAGUCGAGCGGCAGCACGGUCUUCGGACUGGUGGCGAGCGGCGGACGGCUGAGUAACGCGUAGGAACAUGCCCUAAAGUGAGGAAUAACUGCCCGAAAGGGUGGCUAAUGCCGCAUGUGCUCUUCGGAGUAAAGCUGUAUGCGCGUUAGGAGUGGCCUGCGUCCGAUUAGCUAGUUGGUGAGGUAAAUGCUCACCAAGGCGACGAUCGGUAGCUGGUCUGAGAGGAUGAUCAGCCAGACUGGAACUGAGAACGGUCCAGACUCCUACGGGAGGCAGCAGUAGGGAAUUUUCCACAAUGGGCGAGAGCCUGAUGGAGCAACGCCGCGUGCAGGAUGAAUGCCUUCGGGUUGUAAACUGCUUUUAUGUGCGAAGAAUUUGACUGUAACACAUGAAUAAGGAUCGGCUAACUACGUGCCAGCAGCCGCGGUAA
rnacentral:rRNA from 1 species